AAGUAUGAAGCAACCAUUGCAUUCAGUUUCGACCUGAUCUUAGAUUAAUUAUCCUUACUUA
rnacentral:tRNA from 1 species